rnacentral:rRNA from 1 species
UACGUAGGGGGCUAGCGUUGUCCGGAAUCAUUGGGCGUAAAGAGCGUGUAGGCGGCCCGGUAAGUCCGCUGUAAAAGUCAAAGGCUCAACCUUUGAAUGUCAGUGGAUACUGCCGGGCUAGAGUCCGGAAGAGGCGAGUGGAACUCCUGGUGUAGCGGUGAAUGCGCAGAUAUCAGGAAGAACACCAACGGCGAAGGCAGCU